GUAGGAGGGUAGCAGGCUUGAUUGUCCAAACACAUAUUUGAUCUUACCUUGGUAUGUGUACGUAUGGGGAAGCCAACUGUAUGUAAGUACGUAUGUAUGUCAAGGGCAGAGGGUAGCGGGCUUAGUUGUUCAAGUGCACAUUUAAUCUUACCUGGUAUGUGUAUGUGUAGAGGCGCCAGCUGUAAGGGGAGUAUGUAUGUAUGUGCCCUGUAUGUAAAGAGUCAUCCUCUGACUUCCUCAUCCAACCAAUCUUAUGGCUCCCACUUGGGUUACAAGCCCGAGUUACCGGGCUCAGCGGUUAGCUAAGUUGGAUUAGUUCAUAAAAAUAAUAUUAGUCGUUCCCACGCACCCGAUGUGGGAUUAAAAAGCUUACCGAAUCGAAUACAGGAGGUGCAGUGCCGAGUGAGAGACGACGGCAGCGGUGGGAUCUGCGGCGGUGUUAUCACAUUGUCGUCCUCCUCCUCCCCUGACGCGACUCCGGCGUCCCCCUCUUCUGUAUACCGUGGAAAUUGAAAGCUUGGGCUAUGAAAAUCGCUGCUAAACCCUCCAUCAAUUUCAACGCGUGUCGUUCCAACGUGGCGCUGGCUCCAAGACGGCGUCGAUGGUAGAAGUACAAUAACAUCCGUCUCGGCUGCCACCAAAUAUCACGAGCUCGUUAAAGAUGCCGCAAAGUUUUGAGCAAAGGCGGGCGUUUGGAAUGAGAAUUUUGCUAAGAGGCGCUAUAGGGAUAGCCUCUCUUUGACAUUGUGUAUAGCCAAACGUCGUGUAUUGGAUUUUCUAAAAUACUUAUGACGCCAGGUGAAAGAUACAGAAGAAGAAAGUUCAGUAUUUUUCACCAUGGCCACUGACAAGAAGGUACCUCUGAAGCAUCUUGUCGAUAAGCAGCAGUCUCGAGUGUUGCUUGCUGAAACAGACAAAGAUUUUGUGGAAAUCCUGCAAAGUUUUCUAACAAUGCCAAUGGGGACAAUCAUCAAACUCCUUCAGAAAAAUUCAUCAUUAGGAUACAUUGCUAAUUUGUACAAGACCAUCAAGAGCCUCGACAGCAAGCACCUGCAGACUGAGGCUUGCAAGCCUAUGCUGAUUCAUCGCUUGAAUGCAGCAGGGCUCCUCUGCGAAAAUUUUGUAGUUAACAUUGAGUAUA